AUUGAACGCUGGCGGCAUGCCUUACACAUGCAAGUCGAACGGCAGCGCGGACUUCGGUCUGGCGGCGAGUGGCGAACGGGUGAGUAAUGUAUCGGAACGUACCAUUCAGUGGGGGAUAACGCAGCGAAAGUUGCGCUAAUACCGCAUAUUCUGUGCGCAGGAAAGCAGGGGAUCGCAAGACCUUGCGCUGAUUGAGCGGCCGAUAUCAGAUUAGCUAGUUGGUGAGGUAAAGGCUCACCAAGGCGACGAUCUGUAGCGGGUCUGAGAGGAUGAUCCGCCACACUGGAACUGAGACACGGUCCAGACUCCUACGGGAGGCAGCAGUGGGGAAUUUUUGGACAAUGGGCGCAAGCCUGAUCCAGCCAUGCCGCGUGAGUGAAGAAGGCCUCGGUGUAAGACUCUUUCGCCGGAGAAUACGUAUGGUUAAGUACCUA
rnacentral:rRNA from 1 species